ensembl:misc_RNA Metazoa_SRP Metazoan signal recognition particle RNA
GCCGGGCGUGGUGGCUCAUGCCUGUAAUCCCAGCACUUUGGGAGGCCGAGGCGGGUGGAUCACCUGAGGUCAGGAGUUCGAGACCAGCCUGGCCAACAUGGCGAAACCCCGUCUCUA